AACGUAAUUAAGUCGUGGGUCAAAUAUGUAAGACUCAAUUACUUCACUGCCUUUGUUGACGGUACAUCUGAGAAUUGGAAGCCUAGAACAGGGUGUUGAAUGCACAAUAAACAAGAGGAAAUGCAGAAAUGUUGAAAAUAACAGAAUUCUGGGAAAUGAUGAGGAUGAGAAACACUUUCUAGGAAAAGGACACAACAUGGGAUUCCUGUGAUCACGCAGCAGCCACUCCAGAGGAGGACAUCAGCCCUAAAAGAGUAACCACGUUGGGAAGAGUUGGACAAAGCCCUGGUCAAAGGAGUUUUAUUCUUUCCAUCACCAUCUCUGCCAAUUCCAACCCUUCACUGGUAAAUGACUUGGGAGAUGUUGCUUCACCUUCUGGUAGGAAGUAGAUCAACUUGGCCAGAAGACAGGCUUUUUCACUUCUGAAGGAAGAGCACAGAAGAGUCACUGCCCAGUGAAGCCUUCCCAGAUGUUCCUGACCAGAUGGUUCUUCUUGUAUAUAACCUCUCCUGUACCAUUCCAUCACUGCCUUAUCACAGUUGUGACUUUAUGUUUAUGUCAUUACCCUUUGUUUAAUAUCUCAAUCCUCCUCUACGCUUUAAGCAACAUUAGGUCAAAGACUCUCUUUGCUCACAUUUAUAUGUCUAAUGCCUCACAUAGUGUCUAACCCGCAUUAGCUCUCAAUGAACAUAGUAUUUGUUGAAAAGAUGAAUGAAUGAAUGAAUGAAUGAACAAAUGAAUUGGAAAGACCUAUUUAGGAUGGUACCAAUCAAGGUCAUUGGGCAGAGAGGAUAACAAAAUGUCCAAAAUAAAGUUACCACAAAGGUAUAAAGACAUGGAGCCAGUAGAUUGGCCCUGGAUUUGAGUUCGAAACAGAGAACAGGAUGAUUGUCUAAUUUCUGUGAUGUGAAAAAUACUAGAACUGGUCUUAACCCAUCCUUCCUGGGACAGCCAGUUCUUUAAACUGGCUGGGUAUAUAUUCAAUGAAAUAAUCUGUAUGAAUGGUAUCAAUGUGGACCUCAGAUGUAUUACAGGCUGAUGAUAUCUCAACUGAGCAAUGGAUAGGAAGCAACCUUCCCUCAAAGGCUUGUUGAGGUCAGGACAGGGCUCUGCCAACACAGAGGAUCUCACCCAGCCCCAUUGCAUGUUCCUGGAUAGCAUUCAGUGUUUACUAACAAGAGUAGACAGAAUUCUGGAGUCAAAUUCAUAUACAAAUGGUGCUUCUCCUUCCUGUCUGACUCUUCUUCUUCUGGAGGGUUUCUGGGUCACCUCACUCCAUAUGAGGUGCUUCAAAACCAGUGGCAGGUACCCCACUGGGCUUCCAUCCACCGUAUACUCACAUGGUGAUUUUUAUCUGAACCAGUUCUAGAGGAGAUUAGUACCAUAUGAACAUCACCAGGUGAAGGAACUGAAAUCAUUUAACUCAAAGGGAACUGAUCAGUUGGCUGGAAGUCAUUGCCACUGAGUAUAACCCAAGCCAUCCACAAAUGACAACUUGGAAAUGGCUGCCUGACAUUCUUGACUACCUUAGGAACAGGAAGCUUUCAUUUCUGUACUUCCGCAAAGGCCAACCUCUACUAAGAACCUUCUAACCUUAACCACUGUUGGUCCACCCAUAUGACUCAGAAGCAGACUAAAUUUCCCUCUUCCCAAGACACUUGUGAACACUUAAGGACUUGCAGGAUGCAAGAUGGGAAUGACAUUAGAGCUGAAAGGACAGACUCAGUGUCUAAACUGUCUGCUUGUAUAGACAUGUAAACACUUGAGUACCAUACCCUAUGAACUCCUAUUGCAGGUUAUUUCUACCCAAAACUAUAUAAAUGCUCUUAUUAUAUAAAGACCAGAAGAGAACUAAUCCAUUAAACUCAGUCUACCUCU